rnacentral:rRNA from 1 species
UAGAUGCGAGAGUAGAGCAUAUCAAUAAGCGGAGGAAAAGAAACUAACAAGGAUUCCCUUAGUAACGGCGAGUGAAGCGGGAAGAGCUCAAAUUUGAAAUCUUCAAGGUUCUACCUUGACGAAUUGUAGUUUAUAGAAGUGUUUUCUGUUAGUGGAGUGGCAAAAGUUCUUUGGAAUAGGACAUCAUAGAGGGUGAGAAUCCCGUAUUUGGUCAUUCCUCCUAGCGUUGUGAUACACUUUCAACGAGUCGGAUUGUUUGGGAAUGCAGUCCAAAAUGGGUGGUAAAUUUCAUCUAAAGCUAAAUAUUGGCGAGAGACCGAUAGCGAACAAGUACCGUGAGGGAAAGAUGAAAAGAACUUUGAAAAGAGAGUUAAACAGUACGUGAAAUUGUCAAAAGGGAAGCGUUUGACACCAGUGUUGUUUUUCCGAAAAUCAAUUACGAAUGUUUUAUUUUUGAGGAGUUAUGACUUCAUCGGCUUGCUUCUUUCUUUAUGAAACUUUCUUAAUGCACUUUUCGGUUAACAAGUCAACAUCAAUUUCUUUUGUUGUAAAAGGGUAUGAGGAAGGUGGCUUUCUUUUCGGAGAAAGUGUUUAUAGCCUUGUACCUCUGCAAUCGGAGAGAUUGAGGUCUGCAGCGUAGAUCCUUCGGGGUUAGAUACAUUUGUGCUAAGUUAUAGCUUUUCAUAGACAACUUGUUGACUAUGUUUAGUCUUGUAGCUUACUCGCUUACUGCUAUUUUACCUACGCUUAGGAUGUUGACGAGACUGUCGAUCU